CAUAAUUGAAUAUCACUUGAGGAUUUAAGGUAGGGUUAGAAAUAUAUCUAACAUCUCCUCCACCCGGAGCCCAUGUAUCAUAAACACCGCCAAAGAAUAAAGAUUUGAACACUAAUAAGAAGGCACCUACUCCUAAAAGAAUCGGGUGAAUUCCAAUAAUUGUUGUCAUUUUAUUCUUAUCACGCCA
rnacentral:antisense_RNA from 1 species